rnacentral:rRNA from 1 species
CCUACGGGAGGCUGCAGUGAGGAAUAUUGGUCAAUGGCCGGAAGGCUGAACCAGCCAUGCCGCGUGAAGGUCAGUGCCCUAUGGGCGUUAAACUUCUUUUGUGCGGGAGCAAUAAUGGUCACGUGUGGCCAGACGAGAGUACCGUACGAAUAAGCAUCGGCUAACUCCGUGUCAGCAGCCGCGGUAAUACGGGGGAUGCAAGCGUUAUCCGGAUUUAUUGGGUUUAAAGGGUGCGUAGGCUGUGAGGUAAGUCAGCGGUGAAAUGCCCCCGCUCAACGGGGUGAAGUGCCAUUGAUACUGCCUGGCUGGAAUGCGGAUGCCGUGGGAGGAAUGUGUGGUGUAGCGGUGAAAUGCAUAGAUAUCACACAGAACACCGAUUGCGAAGGCAUCUCACGAAGCCGCGAUUGACGCUGAUGCACGAAAGCGUGGGUAUCAAACAGGAUUAGAUACCCGAGUAGUC